rnacentral:rRNA from 1 species
CGGUAAUUCCAGCUCCAAUAGCGUAUAUUAAAGUUGUUGCUGUUAAAAAGCUCGUAGUUGAACUUCUGACAGCGAGCAGGUUUGGCUUUGGCCAGCCUGUUCGUUGUCAUCCGUCUGCAAACCUUGUACGUCCUUCAGUGGUUCGGCAAGGGGAGUAGACAAUUUACUUUGAAAAAAUUAGAGUGUUCAAAGCAGGUAUUAGCCUGAAUACUUUAGCAUGGAAUAAUGGAAUACGACUCUUGUCUAUUUAUGUUGGUUAUUAGACUUGAGUAAUGACUAAUAGGGACAGUUGAAGGCAUUAGUACUUAAUUGUCAGAGGUGAAAUUCAUGGAUUUAUUAAAGACUAACUAAUGCGAAAGCAUUUGCCAAGGAUGUUUUCAUUAAUCAAGAACGAAAGUUCGAGGAUAGACAGCGAUCAGACACCACUUUAUUUCGAACUAUAAACUAUACCGAUUUGAGAUAGCCAAUUUUAAUCGAAUAAUUGGCUGCAUCACAUGAGAAAUCCAAAUCUUUGGGUUCUGGGGGGAGUAUGGUCGCAAG